GAUGAAGAACGUAGCGAAAUGCGAUAAGUAAUGUGAAUUGCAGAAUUCAGUGAAUCAUCGAAUCUUUGAACGCACAUUGCGCCCGUCAGUAUUCUGGCGGGCAUGCCUGUUCGAGCGUCAUUACGCCCCUCAAGUCCCCUGUGGACUUGGUGUUGGGGAUCGGCGAGGCUGGUUUUCCAGCACAGCCGUCCCUUAAAUUAAUUGGCGGUCUCGCCGUGGCCCUCCUCUGCGCAGUAGUAAAACACUCGCAACAGGAGCCCGGCGCGGUCCACUGCCGUAAAACCCCCCAACUUUUUAUAGUUGACCUCGAAUCAGGUAGGACUACCCGCUGAACUUAAGCAUAUCAAUAAGCAGGA
rnacentral:misc_RNA from 1 species